AAAAUAUUAACAUAAAUUUAAAAAAGCAAAAAUGUUGAAAAAUAGCAGUAGAAAACGCAAUAUUAAAAAUACAUAUUAGACUUGAAUCAUAUAUCAUCUCGAAUCCAUCUGAUUGAAGUUAACACGCAUCAGUUGCGCAGCUACAGUCCGAAUUUUAAACUGAACACCUUUUCCACACGACUUUCGGAAACAAAAGUAACGGAACAUUGGAAACUAUGAAACUCGGAUGAAGCAAAAAUACACGCACAUACUCAAUCAAUAAUUACCUGCAGUGACCUACAAUGACUUACCAAUAUUUACCGGACUUACCAAUAAUCAAGAAUCACGAAUCACCUUACAAACCGCACAUGCCCCACGGGUAAUUCGCCUAACACGUGACGGCGCGCAAGUACGCGCGACCGAUUCUCGUGAGCUAUGCGAAUUUGCCAUCAUGGAUCAUAUGUAUAAAAAAAAAAAAAAAAAAAGAAGUUAAUCGGCCAAUGCGAUUUCAAGCUUACGGUACCGCGACCGCACCACCUGAACCAGACAUUACCAUUCCACUACGCGUCGCCACAUAUCCAUACCACCUAUACUAUAAAAUCGUCUUAGGUUGGGAAUACGCAAAUAUUUUGGAACGGUUAAUGUUGCUUGAAGCACACUAUAGAGAUCAUUCUACUAAUCGCACAUACAACGCCACACUUUACCACGCCACACCAUACCUCACCACACCGCACCACACGGUCGUCGCGCAGGAUAGCGUUCUUGAAAGCGAGGUUGGCCUAUCCGGUUUGCUGCACUAGUCAAUCGUAUGAAAUAUAUGCUUAACUUUCAAAUAUAUAUAUCCUACACUGUGAAUGCAUGCAAAGAA